GUAGUCUCGCACAGAUGCAUAUCAAUAAGCGGAGGAAAAGAAACUAACAAGGAUUCCCCUAGUAACGGCGAGUGAAGCGGGAAGAGCUCAAAUUUGAAAUCUUAAAGGGUUUCCCUUUACGAAUUGUAGUUUAAAGAAGUGUUUUCUGUUGAGGUUUUGGUAAAAGUUCUUUGGAAUAGGACAUCAUAGAGGGUGAGAAUCCCGUAUUUGACCUUUACUUUCAACUUUGUGAUACACUUUCAAAGAGUCGGAUUGUUUGGGAAUGCAGUCCAAAAUGGGUGGUAAAUUUCAUCUAAAGCUAAAUAUUGGCGAGAGACCGAUAGCGAACAAGUACCGUGAGGGAAAGAUGAAAAGAACUUUGAAAAGAGAGUUAAACAGUACGUGAAAUUGUCAAAAGGGAAGCGUUUGACACCAGUGUUGUUUUUCUGAAAAUCAAUUAAAGAACUGUUUAUGCUAAGCUGUUUAGACUUUAUCAGCUAUCCUGUUUAGUUUUGAGCUUUUCUUUAAUGCACUUUUCAGUUAACAAGUCAACAUCAAUUUCUUUUGCUGUAAAAAAGCUUGAGGAAGGUGGCUUGAGAUUCGUCUUAAGUGUUUAUAGCCUCUUGCCUAUGCAGUCGGAGAGAUUGAGGUCUGCAGCGUAGAUCCUUCGGGGCUAAAUGCAUUUGUGCUAAGUUAUAGCAUUUUAUAGACAACUUGUUGACUAUGAUUUGUCUUGUAGCUUACUCGCUUAUGUUAUUUUACCUACGCUUAGGAUGUUGAUCUGUAGUGCGUGCGC
rnacentral:rRNA from 1 species